rnacentral:tRNA from 1 species
GGGGAUUUAGCUCAGUGGUAGAGGGCUUGCCUAGGAAGCACAAGGCCCUGGGUUCAGUUCCCAGCUCCG